GUAAACAGUGAUGAAAUAAUAUUGCAUAAAUGAUUAAAUAAUCUAGAGAAAACCAUAGAUAAAAACUUCAGGUAGCCAAUGGCAGAGAGAGGGGUGAACUCUGAAGAAAUAUCAGGAAAAUUAAUGGUUUGUGCAAAAAACUCUACAAAAUAUGGAGCAGAACUUCAAUCACAGCGUAUGGGGGUACUGUUGGCUUUUGGUGUUCCUGCCUGCUCUGUUCAAGUGCUGUGGGAGUGCACCUAGAUAACAAGAAGCUUGAUGUCACCAAGGGAAUGAAUGGAAAGGUGUUAUGGUAAAAUGGAGGAGAAAUAUUGAACCGGCUUCGUGUGGCAAAGAAAAUAGGAGGAGGAGGACAGCAGAUGUGAGCAUCUCUGAACCAGGAAGUUCUCAAGGCGCAUUUCCAUCUUGAAGAUGUGCCAGGACAGAUAAGAGCACACGACACAACAAGAAAACUUAUUGGAGAGGCAAGAUUGCUUGUUUUUAAUCCCGUGAUAAAACAAAGGUUGCCGUUGCAUUUUGCAUCUGCAGAUCUAGUCCCCAGUACCUUCGUUAGCCCCAGUUUCGAGGUCUGAGUUGCGACGCUUUGUAUUUUCGAUCGGACGCCAAUUUAUUUUUGACCCGUUCUUACUCAUUAUAGCCGAUAGAUGGCAGCAAAUGACCACAGAUCUUCCGUUCCUAUCGUAGCCUGCUCCUCCUCGAUAGCUUUAUGUGGAAUUUUCCUAUUUGAAACCGAAACGGUGCUGAUUCCGCAGUAGCAGAACGCAGUACGAGGCAGCAGACCCGAUUUAACAUGUUAGAGCGUUAAGGCCAGUGAUGGAACUGUCUGUUGCGUUCCUGUUUCCAGCGAUGCCGGUGUGACCCGUUGUUCUGUGCCGAGCUGCACGCUUGUUUCUGCAGCUACCUGAGACAUCUUGGAAAAGCACUUUCUUGAGCGCUGAUCUACUUGCAAUUUCCCUGUAGUCUUUACACCAAAACACGUAAACAACUCAGGUUGUGGUGCUCUAC
ensembl:lncRNA